AUUGAACGCUGGCGGCAUGCCUUACACAUGCAAGUCGAACGGUAACAGGUCUUCGGAUGCUGACGAGUGGCGAACGGGUGGGUAAUACAUCGGAACGUGCCCGAUCGUGGGGGAUAACGAGGCGAAAGCUUUGCUAAUACCGCAUACGAUCUACGGAUGAAAGCGGGGGAUCUUCGGACCUCGCGCGGACGGAGCGGCCGAUGGCAGAUUAGGUAGUUGGUGGGAUAAAAGCUUACCAAGCCGACGAUCUGUAGCUGGUCUGAGAGGAUGAUCAGCCACACUGGGACUGAGACACGGCCCAGACUCCUACGGGAGGCAGCAGUGGGGAAUUUUGGACAAUGGGCGAAAGCCUGAUCCAGCCAUGCCGCGUGCAGGAUGAAGGCCUUUGGGUUGUAAACUGCUUUUGUACGGAACGAAAAGCCUCUUUCUAAUAAAGAGGGGUCAUGACGGUACCGUAAGAAUAAGCACCGGCUAACUACGUG
rnacentral:rRNA from 1 species